rnacentral:rRNA from 1 species
UUAAGCGACUAAGCGUACACGGUGGAUGCCCUGGCAGUCAGAGGCGAUGAAGGACGUGCUAAUCUGCGAUAAGCGUCGGUAAGGUGAUAUGAACCGUUAUAACCGGCGAUUUCCGAAUGGGGAAACCCAGUGUGUUUCGACACACUAUCAUUAACUGAAUCCAUAGGUUAAUGAGGCGAACCGGGGGAACUGAAACAUCUAAGUACCCCGAGGAAAAGAAAUCAACCGAGAUUCCCCCAGUAGCGGCGAGCGAACGGGGAGCAGCCCAGAGCCUGAAUCAGUGUGUGUGUUAGUGGAAGCGUCUGGAAAGGCGCGCGAUACAGGGUGACAGCCCCGUACACAAAAAUGCACAUGCUGUGAGCUCGAUGAGUAGGGCGGGACACGUGGUAUCCUGUCUGAAUAUGGGGGGACCAUCCUCCAAGGCUAAAUACUCCUGACUGACCGAUAGUGAACCAGUACCGUGAGGGAAAGGCGAAAAGAACCCCGGCGAGGGGAGUGAAAAAGAACCUGAAACCGUGUACGUACAAGCAGUGGGAGCACGCUUAGGCGUGUGACUGCGUACCUUUUGUAUAAUGGGUCAGCGACUUAUAUUCUGUAGCAAGGUUAACCGAAUAGGGGAGCCGAAGGGAAACCGAGUCUUAACUGGGCGUUAAGUUGCAGGGUAUAGACCCGAAACCCGGUGAUCUAGCCAUGGGCAGGUUGAAGGUUGGGUAACACUAACUGGAGGACCGAACCGACUAAUGUUGAAAAAUUAGCGGAUGACUUGUGGCUGGGGGUGAAAGGCCAAUCAAACCGGGAGAUAGCUGGUUCUCCCCGAAAGCUAUUUAGGUAGCGCCUCGUGAAUUCAUCUCCGGGGGUAGAGCACUGUUUCGGCAAGGGGGUCAUCCCGACUUACCAACCCGAUGCAAACUGCGAAUACCGGAGAAUGUUAUCACGGGAGACACACGGCGGGUGCUAACGUCCGUCGUGAAGAGGGAAACAACCCAGACCGCCAGCUAAGGUCCCAAAGUCAUGGUUAAGUGGGAAACGAUGUGGGAAGGCCCAGACAGCCAGGAUGUUGGCUUAGAAGCAGCCAUCAUUUAAAGAAAGCGUAAUAGCUCACUGGUCGAGUCGGCCUGCGCGGAAGAUGUAACGGGGCUAAACCAUGCACCGAAGCUGCGGCAGCGACGCUUAUGCGUUGUUGGGUAGGGGAGCGUUCUGUAAGCCUGUGAAGGUGUACUGUGAGGUAUGCUGGAGGUAUCAGAAGUGCGAAUGCUGACAUAAGUAACGAUAAAGCGGGUGAAAAGCCCGCUCGCCGGAAGACCAAGGGUUCCUGUCCAACGUUAAUCGGGGCAGGGUGAGUCGACCCCUAAGGCGAGGCCGAAAGGCGUAGUCGAUGGGAAACAGGUUAAUAUUCCUGUACUUGGUGUUACUGCGAAGGGGGGACGGAGAAGGCUAUGUUGGCCGGGCGACGGUUGUCCCGGUUUAAGCGUGUAGGCUGGUUUUCCAGGCAAAUCCGGAAAAUCAAGGCUGAGGCGUGAUGACGAGGCACUACGGUGCUGAAGCAACAAAUGCCCUGCUUCCAGGAAAAGCCUCUAAGCAUCAGGUAACAUCAAAUCGUACCCCAAACCGACACAGGUGGUCAGGUAGAGAAUACCAAGGCGCUUGAGAGAACUCGGGUGAAGGAACUAGGCAAAAUGGUGCCGUAACUUCGGGAGAAGGCACGCUGAUAUGUAGGUGAAGCGACUUGCUCGUGGAGCUGAAAUCAGUCGAAGAUACCAGCUGGCUGCAACUGUUUAUUAAAAACACAGCACUGUGCAAACACGAAAGUGGACGUAUACGGUGUGACGCCUGCCCGGUGCCGGAAGGUUAAUUGAUGGGGUCAGCGCAAGCGAAGCUCUUGAUCGAAGCCCCGGUAAACGGCGGCCGUAACUAUAACGGUCCUAAGGUAGCGAAAUUCCUUGUCGGGUAAGUUCCGACCUGCACGAAUGGCGUAAUGAUGGCCAGGCUGUCUCCACCCGAGACUCAGUGAAAUUGAACUCGCUGUGAAGAUGCAGUGUACCCGCGGCAAGACGGAAAGACCCCGUGAACCUUUACUAUAGCUUGACACUGAACAUUGAGCCUUGAUGUGUAGGAUAGGUGGGAGGCUUUGAAGUGUGGACGCCAGUCUGCAUGGAGCCGGCCUUGAAAUACCACCCUUUAAUGUUUGAUGUUCUAACGUUGACCCGUGAUCCGGGUUGCGGACAGUGUCUGGUGGGUAGUUUGACUGGGGCGGUCUCCUCCUAAAGAGUAACGGAGGAGCACGAAGGUUGGCUAAUCCUGGUCGGACAUCAGGAGGUUAGUGCAAUGGCAUAAGCCAGCUUGACUGCGAGCGUGACGGCGCGAGCAGGUGCGAAAGCAGGUCAUAGUGAUCCGGUGGUUCUGAAUGGAAGGGCCAUCGCUCAACGGAUAAAAGGUACUCCGGGGAUAACAGGCUGAUACCGCCCAAGAGUUCAUAUCGACGGCGGUGUUUGGCACCUCGAUGUCGGCUCAUCACAUCCUGGGGCUGAAGUAGGUCCCAAGGGUAUGGCUGUUCGCCAUUUAAAGUGGUACGCGAGCUGGGUUUAGAACGUCGUGAGACAGUUCGGUCCCUAUCUGCCGUGGGCGCUGGAGAACUGAGGGGGGCUGCUCCUAGUACGAGAGGACCGGAGUGGACGCAUCACUGGUGUUCGGGUUGUCAUGCCAAUGGCACUGCCCGGUAGCUAAAUGCGGAAGAGAUAAGUGCUGAAAGCAUCUAAGCACGAAACUUGCCCCGAGAUGAGUUCUCCCUGACUCCUUGAGAGUCCUGAAGGAACGUUGAAGACGACGACGUUGAUAGGCCGGGUGUGUAAGCGCAGCGAUGCGUUGAGCUAACCGGUACUAAUGAACCGUGAGGCUUAACCUU